rnacentral:rRNA from 1 species
GAUGAACGCUGGCGGCGUGCCUAAUACAUGCAAGUCGAGCGAACGGACGAGAAGCUUGCUUCUCUGAUGUUAGCGGCGGACGGGUGGGUAACACGUGGAUAACCUACCUAUAAGACUGGGAUAACUUCGGGAAACCGGAGCUAAUACCGGAUGAUAUUUUGAACCGCAUGGUUCAAAAGUGAAAGACGGUCUUGCUGUCACUUAUAGAUGGAUCCGCGCUGCAUUAGCUAGUUGGUAAGGUAACGGCUUACCAAGGCAACGAUGCAUAGCCGACCUGAGAGGGUGAUCGGCCACACUGGAACUGAGACACGGUCCAGACUCCUACGGGAGGCAGCAGUAGGGAAUCUUCCGCGAUGGGCGAAAGCCUGACGGAGCAACGCCGCGUGAGUGAUGAAGGUCUUCGGAUCGUAAAACUCUGUUAUUAGGGAAGAACAUAUGUGUAAGUAACUGUGCACAUCUUGACGGUACCUAAUCAGAAAGCCACGGCUAACUACGUG